rnacentral:miRNA from 1 species
CUCAUUGACCGGAAGGAAUCCCUUCCAAUUGAUGAGGUUGUUACAUCUCAUUGACUGGAAGGAAUCCCUUCCAAUUGAUGAGGUAUAACAACCUCAUCAAUCGGAAGGGAUUCCUUCCAGUCAUGGGAG